GUUACUUCCUCUUCUAGUUACCAUUUGAUGUUGAGCUGAUAUUGGCAUGAAAGAUGAUUUUGGGUAUUGAAGCACGUAACUGUUGUUAAUAAUAAUAACAAAAUAAUAAUUUAUAAUGCUGGUUAGGUCAUUUUCUGGGAACGGUAGUUGAUAAAUACAUCAUGGAGAAAGCUACUAGCUUUUGCUAGCUAGGAGCCUAGGACUGAAUAUUACAGGAUGUUAAGGUAGCCUUAACUUGUUUAAUUUAACAUGGGAGAGAACUAUCCUUUAAUGAUGAUUGAUUCUGUUUGGGGUAUCUGCGUGAAGUUUAGUUGAUUAUUUUUUGGGCAAUGGGUGUCACGUGAAUCUUCUAUGCUCAUUGGAGUUUAGAUGUUAGGAAAAUGAGUAUUUGUAGGAGAUAAGGGAAGUAAUUAUGCCCAACCUUUGCAAACUCGAAAUAUGAAAUCUCAUUUGUGUGCAUAAGCACUUUCUAUUUUCUUGUUAAUGUUGUAAUGGUUCUCUUAAAGUGCUUAGUAUGGGAGCUCUCUUCUCUUGAUGAUUGUCUUGUUUAGUUGCAUUGCCAAUUUUCUUAAUUUGCAGUUAGAUGUUUGCACGUUUAAGCCUUUCUUUAUCCCAUCUUUAAGGCACACAUGAGGUCCCUUGGAAAUAACUGGGAGUUAAUCAAUUUUUCUUCCUGCUUCCUUCUGUUGUAUUGAGAAUGUUUAGAUGUUUUAAGCUCAAGUUAUGAGUCUGAGACAACUUAUUUAAAAUUGAAUGUUAUUGUACUCAUGACUUUCAAUAAAAAGAAUGUGGGUGUAGUUAGGAUCAGUGAUGCAAGAAACAAAUAUUUCUACAUGUUUACCAUUACUUCAUAAUUUUAUAUGUUUGGAGGAACAUUCCCACUUAACACUGUUUCCCUUUUCAUUUAAGAAAUUAAAAUACAGCUGAAGUAUAUUAUAGUUUUAGUUCAGACUCAAUGUAACUUUUAUAUGAGGUUUGUUGGUGGCCGCUGGGCUAAGAAUUCAAGUUAGAGGCAAGUUCUCAUUUUUAUUUUAUGUAAAAUAUUGAUCUUGAUGGUCACAUGUUUUAAAUAUCUGAUCAUGUGCAUAAUGUAUGCUUCAACUGUUUUUCUCUUCUCAAUUUUUUUGGUCUACGAUUGUUUCUCUGGGCGUAUCUUCACUACACUUGUAGUGAGUUUAAAGAGAUAUCUGAUUAUGGUUACUUUGGAUCUUUAGAUUGAAGGAUUCAUACAUCAUGUGCCUAUGUCAUACAGAUUGCUGAUUUGUUGUAUUAUUUUUGUAGACCAUCAUGGCUAGUGGAUGGUCAUAGAUUUGCAAGAAAAAUCAAGAGUGCAUCUAAUCCUGAAAAGGUGAUAUGGGAGAGCAAUCCAUCUAAAGCUUGUCCAAAUUGCCACCAUGCUAUUGACAACAGUGAUGUUACUCAAAAGUGGCCUGGACUACCUAGAGGUGUGAAGUUUGAUCCAACUGAUCUAGAAAUUAUUUGGCAUUUACUUGCAAAAGUUGGUAUGGGAGGUUUGGAACCGCAUCCUUUCAUUGAUGAAUUCAUUCCUACUAUUAACAAGGAUGAUGGAAUCUGUUAUACCCAUCCUCAGAAUCUACCAAGUGUCAGGCUAGAUGGGAGUGUAUCUCACUUUUUUCAUAGAGCAAUCAAAGCUUACAAUACUGGGACUCGAAAGCGCCGUAAAGUUCAAGGUGAUGAUUUUGCCGAUGUCCGCUGGCACAAGACUGGCAGGACUAAACCAGUGAUAUUGGAUGGGGUUCAGAAGGGAUGCAAGAAAAUUAUGGUUUUAUACAUGAGCACAGUUAGGGGUGGCAAAGCAGAGAAAACUAAUUGGGUGAUGCAUCAAUAUCACCUGGGAAC
rnacentral:misc_RNA from 1 species